rnacentral:rRNA from 1 species
CAUGCAAGUCGAACGGAAAGGCCCUUUCGGGGGUACUCGAGUGGCGAACGGGUGAGUAACACGUGGGUGAUCUGCCCUGCACUUUGGGAUAAGCCUGGGAAACUGGGUCUAAUACCGGAUAUACCUCAUGGGCUGCAUGGUUUGUGAGGGAAAGCUUUUGCGGUGUGGGAUGGGCCCGCGGCCUAUCAGCUUGUUGGUGGGGUGAUGGCCUACCAAGGCGACGACGGGUAGCCGGCCUGAGAGGGUGACCGGCCACACUGGGACUGAGAUACGGCCCAGACUCCUACGGGAGGCAGCAGUGGGGAAUAUUGCACAAUGGGCGCAAGCCUGAUGCAGCGACGCCGCGUGAGGGAUGACGGCCUUCGGGUUGUAAACCUCUUUCAGCAGGGACGAAGCGCAAGUGACGGUACCUGUAGAAGAAGGACCGGCCAACUACGUGCCAGCAGCCGCGGUAAUACGUAGGGUCCGAGCGUUGUCCGGAAUUACUGGGCGUAAAGAGCUCGUAGGUGGUUUGUCGCGUUGUUCGUGAAAACUCACA